ACAGAGGGUGCGAGCGUUGUUCGGAAUUAUUGGGCGUAAAGGGCGCGUAGGCGGUGCGGUAAGUCUCCUGUGAAAUCUCCGGGCUCAACUCGGAGCGGUCAGGGGAAACUGCCGUGCUUGAGUGUGGGAGAGGUGCGUGGAAUUCCUGGUGUAGCGGUGAAAUGCGCAGAUAUCAGGAGGAACACCAGUGGCGAAGGCGGUGCUCUGGGCCGGUACUGACGCUGAGGAGCGAAAGCGUGGGGAGCAAACAGGA
rnacentral:rRNA from 1 species